UGAGUACGAGAUGCUACGGCAUCGAAGCAGUCUAUGUCAUACUUCCAAGAAAAGCUUGCACUGUCAGAAACAGAUAAUGCCUGUACCAUAACCGACACAGGUGGGUAGGUAGAGUAUACUAAGGGGCGCGAGAUAACUCUCUCUAAGGAACUCGGCAAAAUGACUCCGUAACUUCGGGAGAAGGAGUGCCUUAUUUUUAAGGUUGCAAUAACAAGAUCCAAGCAACUGUUUACCAAAAACACAGGUCUCCGCUAUGUCGUAAGACGAUGUAUGGGGGCUGACGCCUGCCCAGUGCCAGAAGGUUAAAGAAGUCGGUUAGCAUUCGCGAAGCUGGUAACUGAAGCCCUGGUGAACGGCGGCCGUAACAAUAACGGUCCUAAGGUAGCGAAAUUCCUUGUCGGGUAAGUUCCGACCCGCACGAAAGGCGUAAUGAUUUGGAUACUGUCUCGGAGAGGGGCUCGGUGAAAUAGACUUGUCUGUGAAGAUGCGGACUACCUGCACCUGGACAGAAAGACCCUAUGAAGCUUUACUGUAACUUGAAAUUGAAAUUGGACUUUAUUUGCGCAGUAUAGGUGGGAGGCGUUGAAAAUAUUCUUGCGGGAAUAUUGGAGCCAUCAGUGAGAUACCACUCUUGUAAUGUUAGAUUUCUAACUUUAUAUCAUUAUCUGGUUAAAGAACAGUUUCAGGCGGGCAGUUUGACUGGGGCGGACGCCUCCCAAAUGGUAACGGAGGCGCACAAAGGUUUCCUCUGAACGGGUAGAAAUCGUAUCUAGAGUGUAAAGGCAUAAGGAAGCUUGACUGUGAGACCUACAAGUCGAGCAGGGACGAAAGUCGGUCUUAGUGAUCUGACGGUGCUGAGUGGAAAGGCCGUCACUCAACGGAUAAAAGUUACUCUAGGAUAACAGGCUGAUCUCCCCCAAGAGUUCGCAUCGACGGGGAGGUUUGGCACCUCGAUGUCGGCUCAUCGCAUCCUGGGGCGGUAGUACGUCCCAAGGGUUGGGCUGUUCGCCCAUGAAAGCGGUACGCGAGCUGGGUUCAGAACGUCGUGAGACAGUUCGGUCCAUAUCCGGUGUAGGCGUUAGAAUAUUGAGAGGAGCCUUCUUUAGUACGAGAGGACCGAGAAGGACAUACCUCUGGUGUACCAGUUAUCGUGCCAACGGUAAACGCUGGGUAGCUAUGUAUGGAGUGGAUAACCGCUGAAAGCAUCUAAGUGGGAAGCCCACCUCAAGAUAAG
rnacentral:rRNA from 1 species